rnacentral:rRNA from 1 species
AUUGAACGCUGGCGGCAGGCCUAACACAUGCAAGUCGAGCGAGCGGCGGACGGGUGAGUAAUGUCUGGGAAACUUCCUGAUGGAGGGGGAUCACUACUGGAAACGGUAGCUAAUACCGCAUACCAUCAGAUGUGCCCAGAUGGGAUUAGCGAGUAGGUGGGGUAACGGCUUACCUGGGCGACGAUCCCUCGCUGGUCUGAGAGGAUGACCAGCCAAACUGGAACUGAGACACGGUCCAGACUCCUACGGGAGGCAGCAGUGGGGAAUAUGGCACAAUGGGCGAAAGCCUGAUGCAGCCAUGCCGCGUGUGUGAAGAAGGCCUGCGGGUUGUAAAGCACUUUCAGCGGGGAGGCGUUACCCGCAGAAGAAGCACCGGCUAACUCCGUGCCAGCAGCCGCGGUAAUAC